rnacentral:rRNA from 1 species
CUCUCUUUUGGGAAGUCUUACGCGGCGAGACGGGGAGAAUAACACGUGGGGCCACCUCGCCCCUUACAGGGGGAUAACUCCGGGAAACCGGAUCUAAUACCAGAUAAUCUUUUUCUCCACGUGGAGAGAGGGAGAAAGAGGGUUUCCGCUAUCUCUAGGAGAGGGCCCCGCGGCGCUUUAUCUAUUUGGUAGGGUAACGGCUUACCAAGGCCACUAUGCAUACCCCACCUGAGAGGGUGAUCGGCCACUGUGGCACUGACACACGGCCCACACUCCUACGGGAGGCAGCAAUGGGGAAUCUUCCGCAGUGCAAAAAUGUCUGACAGAACCACCCCGCGUGAGUGAAGAGGGCCUUCGGCUCAUAAAUCUGUUUUGUGAGGAAAAAAGCGGUCCCGUUCAUAUAGGGGGGUCCCUUGACGGCCCCUCACCAAAAACCCACGGCAAUCUACGUGCCAACCCCCGCGAUUAUACAUAUGUGGCAAGCGUUGUCCGGAUAUAUUGGGCGUAGAGCGCGCGCGCGCGGCUUCUUAUCUCAGAUGUGAAAUCUCGGGGCUCAACCCAGAGCGCCCUUUGAAAAGUGGGAGAUCGUGAGUGCAAAAGAAGAGAGUGAAACUCCACGUGUCGCUGAAAAGUGCAUAGAUAUGUAGGGAAACACGUGUGGAGAACGCCUCUCUCGGCUCUAUCUCUGACUGUGACGCGCAAACGCGUGGAGAACACACAAUAUUAUAUACUCUUGGUACCCCACCCCAUACACUAUGAGUGCUAUGUGUUAGGGUUUUUCUAUGCCCUGUAGUGCCAAAUAUCACACAUUAACACACUCCCCCUGGGAGUACACGCCCGCAAGGCUAAAUCUCAAGAGAAUUGACGGGCACCCGCCACACCCUGUGGACCAUGGUGUUAUAUUUCAGACCCAGCGCAAAAACUCUUCACGGCUCGUGACCUCUUUGACC